UGUUUAAAUGUACAAUUAAGUGCCAUUCAUUACAUUCACAAUGUGUGUAACCAUCACCACUAUCUAUAAAGAGAGCUUUUUCAUCCUAAACAGAAACUGUACCCAUGAAGCAACUCCCUGUUCUCCCCUAUCCUCAGAACUUGGUAACCUCUAUUCUGCUUUCUGUCCCAAGGAAUUUCCCUAGUCUGCAUAUCCCCUGCAAAUGGAAUAAUACAGCAAGUCCUCUUAACAUCAUCGACGGGUUCUUGGAAACUGCGACUUUAAGCAAAACAACAUAUAAAGAAACCAGUUAUACCACAGGCUAAUUGACAUAAAUAACAGAUCAACACUGAUGUCAUUCAAGCAACAGCUAGAAGACCAACUCUGUCUCCGACUUAUUGAGUUGAAAUGCAUUUAUUUUUCCACUGUUAUGAAAAAAUGCAGAUUUUCCCCGAAGAAGCAUUUUUUUAAUUCAUCGCUUUUUCUUAAAGCCACGUGACAGAAAGCCAGGGCCCAGAUCCUAAGGAGAGGGACCAUCAUGGCACUGUCCAGAUCAGCUUCUUCCACAUGGGAGGGAAAAUGGCUGCUGACGGCUCCCAAGCCUCAAUCCCUUCACCCUUGCCACUGGCAAACUGCGGUUUAGGUUGCUGCCUUGGCAGUCCUGGCUGUCCUCACGGAAGAGCAUGUGAACCACGGACCUGGCUGUCUUUUUCAUUGGGUUGGCUCUGCGGUGCAGGCUGGCAGAUGAGCAUGUGAUGAGCCCGCCCUUGCUGGCCGUGCAAUUCGGCUCCUGUCAUGCUCUUGGCCAUUGAAUCGGCCUAAUGCAGCCCCUCAGCAGCCAGCCUGGUGUUCCCUGGGGCUGAGGAUCUAAUGUCAGCAGGGCAUGAUUCGAUUCACAUUAAAGAUGGAUAUUAAGUCUUUUUA
rnacentral:lncRNA from 1 species